rnacentral:rRNA from 1 species
CCUACGGGAGGCAGCAGUGAGGAAUAUUGGUCAAUGGACGAGAGUCUGAACCAGCGAAGUAGCGUGAAGGAUGACUGCCCUAUGUGUUGUAAACUUCUUUUAUAUGGGAAUAAAAUGUUCCACGUGUGGAAUUUUGUAUGUACCAUAUGAAUAAGGAUCGGCUAACUCCGUGCCAGCAGCCGCGGUAAUACGGAGGAUCCGAGCGUUAUCCGGAUUUAUUGGGUUUAACGGGAGCGUAGGUGGAUUGUUAAGUCAGUUGUGAAAGUUUGCGGCUCAACCGUAAAAUUGCAGUUGAAACUGGCAGUCUGGAGUACAGUAGAGGUGGGCGGAAUUCGUGGUGUAGCGGUGAAAUGCUUAGAUAUCACGAAGAACUCCGAUGGCGAAGGCAGUUCACUGGACUGCAACUGACACUGAGGCUCGAAAGUGUGGGUAGCAAACAGGAUUAGAUACCCUAGUAGUC